rnacentral:rRNA from 1 species
CCUACGGGGGGCAGCAGUGGGGAAUCUUAGACAAUGGGCGCAAGCCUGAUCUAGCCAUGCCGCGUGAGCGAUGAAGGCCUUAGGGUUGUAAAGAUCUUUCAGGGGGGAAGAUAAUGACUGUACCCCCAGAAGAAGCCCCGGCUAACUCCGUGCCAGCAGCCGCGGUAAUACGGAGGGGGCUAGCGUUGUUCGGAAUUACUGGGCGUAAAGCGCACGUAGGCGGACUGGAAAGUUGGAGGUGAAAUCCCAGGGCUCAACCUUGGAACUGCCUUCAAAACUCCCAGUCUUGAGUUCGAGAGAGGUGAGUGGAAUUCCGAGUGUAGAGGUGAAAUUCGUAGAUAUUCGGAGGAACACCAGUGGCGAAGGCGGCUCACUGGCUCGAUACUGACGCUGAGGUGCGAAAGCGUGGGGAGCAAACAGGAUUAGAUACCCCAGUAGUC